GAACCAGGCUUCGGCCUGGGGCAAAGCCGCGAACGGGUGAGUAACACGUGGGUAACCUGCCCCGAUGAUUGGGACAACCCGAGGAAACUCGGGCUAAUACCGAAUGUGCCCUCCGGCCAUAAGGCCGCUGGGGAAAGGAAGCUUCGGCCUCCGCAUCGGGAUGGGCCCGCGGCCCAUUAGCUUGUUGGUGAGGUAACGGCUCACCAAGGCUGCGAUGGGUAGCUGGUCUGAGAGGACGAUCAGCCACACUGGGACUGAGACACGGCCCAGACUCCUACGGGAGGCAGCAGUGGGGAAUCUUGCGCAAUGCGCGAAAGCGUGACGCAGCAACGCCGCGUGGGGGAAGAAGGCCUUCGGGUUGUAAACCCCUUUCAGUUGGGACGAAGCUUCGCCGGUGAAUAGCCGGUUGAAGUGACGGUACCUUCAGAAGAAGCCCCGGCUAACUACGUG
rnacentral:rRNA from 1 species